CAGCCUCAAGCCCCAGGGGACAGUUAACAACUUUUUUGGAAAGAGAGGGUCCGGCAGCUCCCCUCAAAGCCUUCCCAGAAACGUCAACCUUUCCCCAGUAUCCAGAGGUCACACACAAAGGUGAAGACAGCCCCAAAGAGCGGAGUGGCCACACAGUUGGUCAUGACAUGUUAAGAACUGUCCUCAUCUAGAACGCGAAAUGCUGAGAAGAUGGUAUGAAACGACAGGGAACAG